GCGCAGGGGAGGUGCCUACUGCCUGUCUAACAGAAGAGGCAAGUGUACUGCCUAUACCACAGGAGGACCACUCAGAAGGGAGUCCACUUGGGCCCUUGGAGAAGGAUCAAAACCAAAGAAGAUGGGGGAUUCUAGGUACCAAGAAACCCAGAGCCUGACCUUAGGCCCUCCUGGCAGUGCCCACCUACCUAACACCUCUCCCAACCCCAUGCCUAGGGCCCAGAACUUUCCAGGAAAUGGCUGCAGAGCCUCAUGUCUGCGGGGUCCCAAAUGCUACAGUGAUCAUGAUGGGGGAUGGGAGGUGUGUGGAAGGAUAGGUCAGAGAGACCACAGUCACUGGACCAGAAAAGCAUGUAGGUCAUGCAUUGGCUGUGAGGGGAGGGGCAGGAGCUGGCCUGGGUUCUAGGGCUUCUGUGGCUGCCAAUUAGGGUGCCAGGUGACAGGCCCAGCUUCUGCAAAACCAGCCUGUUACCCAGACACCUAUGUAGGCAACAGGGAGAGGGCACAGCCUGCCACUUGGGAAGUCAUCCUCUGCCUGUGGUAGCUCUUUAUCCCAACGACCCCAACCCCAAAGCCAGGCCUGGGCCAGGGGCAGGGAGGAGGGUGGGGCAGGGAGUGCUGACUCCCUGGGAAAACACCCACCCGUCCUGAAAGCAAGCUCCCUUCAGGGUCUGCUCUGGGUCCGGCACAGCCCAGGAUCUCAGGACAGGGUCAUAUGUUGCUCAUCAGCCCUCUUGUCCCUGAGGCUGUUUCCAAAAGGACUGAGUAUGGGGGUGAACAGUGAGGGGGGGCGGUCUCAAGAGGUCCUUCAUCACCCCACAGGUCCCAAAGCCAGCCAGGGUCAGAGCCGCUGCAGAACCCGAGGGUCCAGGCCCAGCAGCGACUGACCCCCUAACCCAGUCACUGUCCCACUUGCCUAACGGCAUCCCCUGAGCCUAUCACAAAGUAGGCAAGACCAGACACACUCCAUGUGUGGCACCUGUGGGUGGUAUGGUUCUGGUCAGUCGACUGGGUGAAAAAAGGUGAAAGGCAGCCUGGCCUUGGUAAGAAGAGGGGAGGAAGAAGUGGGGUCCCAAGGUCUGGGCAGGAUCUCUAUCUGGUGCACCCUCCCUCCUGGCCUGGCUGCACAGGAAGUGCUGAGGAGCUACUGUACUCGAGAACAGGUCAGCCUGACCACUCAGUCCCGCGUUCAUCCCUGUCCAGCCGUCCUGCCUGCCAGCAGCUCUGAGCAGGGAACCCGUGGGUCCGAGAGACGAUGAGCCCAGAUGCAGCUUCUCUGACCAUCCCCCCAGUGUCAGACCGACCCCCACACAUUCAGCUCAAGAUGCUUGUUGCCCACCACACCCCACACACACACUAAUGCGUGCACACACAGACACUGCAUGGUGUGGAGUGUAUACCACCUACUGUAUACACACCCCCUACAGUGCUCAUGGGCACACAGGCACGCACACAGGCACACACAGUCCGCUGCGCACCCCGUGCUGUACAUGUAGCACAUAAGGCACACACCCGCUGCGUUAACACCAUGCCACGCACCUCACACAAUGCCUUACCCAGGCACACGGGGCACCCACAGCACACGCAGGGUGCCUGUCAUCUGCUGCAUCCAUGAUCACAAGGCAAACGCUGCCACCUGCACUCUGAGCCGGGCCCCUCCGGGACAGAGUCAGAAACAGCCCAUUCCUGUUCUUGGGCUCACCCGCCCCCCCCCCAAGUCCUCCACCUCUCCCCCCGCCCCUUCCAUGGCCCUCCAGAACCUACCCAAGUCACCAGGGCCCUGCCCACAUCUCUGCUGUCUGGCCUCCUCCGGGGCUUUCCUGACCACUGUCCUGCCUGGCUUGGAACCCACUGGCUCAGCUGAAUCGUAACCUCCAGAAUGAGCUCUAAGACCCUCACUCCCCCCACCUCCUGGAGGGAAAGGCCAAGAAGCAAAGCCUGCCUCCCCUCCCCCUCCCUCCAGAGGGAAAAUGUCAGAUUCUCUGUCUCAGUGGCGGCAGCGGGCGGGUUGGAGGGGGAGUGAUUCAGCCGCUGCCUCAAGAGUGCGGAGUGAGAAGAGCUUUUCCUGCCAUUACCGGGCGAGGGAGAGGCUGGCGCGCUAAUGGCUUCAAUUACCACUCAGACAGGAACACUGGGCGGCAGGGCCCUGUGCUCGUCACAGCCUGGACAGGCUCACCCCCAGUCAGCUUGUGCUGGGCACCCCUACCCCGUCCACAGCCAUGGGUGUGGGGGGAGGGCAGGCAGCCGGCUGCACACCACAGGGCAGCUGGGGCACAUUGGGCCACACCUGGUCACACGGGGAGUGGCAGUCAUGUCGGGGAGCUGGGUGCAAAGGCCGGGACCAGGGAGAGGCUCAGGGAGCCUUAGGCAGUGUGGGGUGUUUCCCGAGCCACGUAUGGGGGAGGCUGGGCCUGUUGCGGAACAACACAGGACAGGGGGGAACAGGACCAGACUCGCAGGCCUGGGCUCCCUUUUGGGGGUACACCAAUUCCUCCCCUGAGCCAGGUCGCCGCAGGCGGCCCUCAGCCACUCCUCUGAAAAGCCCAAUGCGCAGUAAGCAUGACCGUGUACUGGUGCUUUUGGCCUACAUGCAGUGUGUGACACCGGAAGAGGACUCCACUCUUAUUCCUGUCCCCCAAACCAGCUUCAUCCUCACCCCAGGCUUCCUGAGAACCUGUGGUGGCCUUCCGGAUCGGCCCUGGCUCUCCUCCCAGUCACACUAUCCUUUCUCCCUGCUCCCUCCACACCCCCCAACUUUCCAGGCCUGCACAGGAGGGCAGGGAGGGAUGGGAUGGUCGCUGUCUGGGCUGCUUCCUCCUGGCCCCACCUCCUGGCCCCUUUGAGGCCUCCUACUCCACUCCUUUCUGCCAAGCCAGGAGCCUGGUCAAGGUUACACAGACCAACACGUCUCAGAAGAUGCCCUCUUGGGCAGGAGCCACAGUUCUGGCCCUUCAGCCAGAUGCCUGGAUGCCAGGGUAGGACAGAAGGCUCCCCGCUGGGGCAGAUGCCAACAGGAGGGAAGGCAAGGCUGAACUACUUGUCCCCUGGUUAGAGGACAGAAACUGAGCUCAGGGCACUUGGCAACGAGUGGUCCUGGCCCAACGCCUGUCCUCUGGGGCCCUGCUCCACAGGGGAGUCCCCUCCAUGGGAAUGGACCAUGGGGCCGCAUCACCUGGAUGAUGCCAUGGGAGCCAGGUACCGCCAGGAUGUACAACUUCCAGCACAAUAGCAGCUACCGUUCGCUGGAUCCUGCAAGGUACUUUACAUCAUAUUCAAUCCUCCAAAUCAGCUUGGGCAGUAGGUAUUACAUCCCCAUUUACAGGUGGAGCAGAUGAGGCUCAGAGGCAUAGUUACUAGUCAAGGUCACAAGGUAAGAGAGGAAGUGGUCUGGAGCCCCUGCUCUUAACCACUGUCUUCCACUGCCCCUCUAACCUGGAGUUCCCCCCAUCCCUCACCACCCACAGGAGACACACAGGCACAAGGAAGUUACUGAAUGGAUGCAUGCAAACACAUAAAGCCAUAGCGUAAAAAUGGCCAAUGUGAAAAGAUGUUCAACUGCUCUUGUAAUCAAAGAAAUGCAAAUUAAAUUGAGAUGCCAUUUUUUGCCUAUUAACUUGGCAAAGACUUUUUUUUAAUGAUAAUUCCCACUGCUGGUGAGGAUAUGCAGAAAAGAGGCCCUCUUAUGCCCUGCUUGGUGGGAGUGUAAACUGACACAAUCUUCUGGAAAUACUGAAAGGCUUAAAAAUUCAUGUGUCCUUUGAUCCAGCAAUUCCACUUCCAUGAAUCUAGAAUAAGGAAAUAAUCAGGAAGGUGAACACAUCUGAUCUGCAAGAAAGUGUAUAGCGCUUUAUAAAAGCAAAAAAAAAAAAGGGGGGGGGGGAACAAUGUAUGUGUCCAACAAUAAAGGAAUGGCCAAAUAAACUAAGGUACUUCAUGUGAUACCUACAGCCAUUAAAAAUAAUGAUACGGAAUAUUUAAUGGUGAGGAAGAUGUUCAUGAUGGGUUACGUUAAAAAGUGGUCUACAAAUGAGGGGCACCUGGCUGGCUCAGUCAGUGGAGCACAUCACUCUUGAUCUCGGGAUUGUGAGUUGGAGCCCCACGUUGGGUGCGGAGAUUACUUAAAAUUUUGGAGGGGCGCCUGGAUGGCUCAAUCAGUUAAGCGUUGGACUUCGGCUCAGGUCAUGAUCUCACCGUUCAAGGGUUCAAGCCCUGUGUCAGGUUCUUUGCUGUCAGUGCAGAGCCCACUUCAGAUCCUGUCUCACUCUCUGCCCCUCCCCCGCGCGCGCACGCGCGCUCUCUCUCUCUCUCUCAGAAAUUUAUUUUAUUAAAAAAAAUUUUUUUACUGUUUAUCUAUUUUUUUGAGAGAGACAGAGACAGAACACGAGUGGGUUAGGGGCAGAGAGAGAGGGAGACACAGAAUCCGAAGCAGGCUCCAGGCUCCGAGCUGUCAGCACAGAGCCCGACAUGGGGCUCGAACUCACGAGCUGUGAGAUCCUGACCUGAGCUGAAGUUGGGCACUCAACCGACUGAGACACCCAGGCACCCCCCAGAAAUUUUUUUUUAAAUAAAAUCUUGGGGGAAAAAAAAGCAGUCCACAAAUCAUUGGGCAGGGCAUGAUCCCACUUUUCUUAUACAAUUGACCCUCCCACAAUACGGUUUGAACUGCACAGGUGCACUUAUAUGUGGACUUUUUUCAAUAUGGUACAGGACUAUAUUUAAAUGUAUUUUCUCUCAUUUUCUUUUAAGUUUAUUUUUUUAGUAAUCACUACACCCCAUGUUGGGCUUAAACUCACAACCCUGAGGUCAAGAGUUGCAUGCUCUACUGACUGAACCAGCCAGGCACCCCUCUCUCAUUUUUCUUUUUUUAUUUAAAAAAAUUUUUUAAGUUUAUUUAUUUAUUUUGAGAAAGACAGAGACAGUGUGAGUGGGGGAGAGGGAGAGAGAGAGGGAGACAGAAUCCCAAGAAGGCUCUGCACUGCCAGCGCAGAGCCCAAUGCAGGGCUUGAUCCCACAAACCAUGGGAUCAUGACCUGAGCCACGCCGAAACCAAGAGUCAGAUGCUUAACCCACUGAGCCACCCAGGAGCUGCUCUCAUGAUUUUCUUAAUGAGAUUUUCUUUUCUCCAUCUUGUUUUAUCCUAGAAUACAGUAUAUAGUACAUAUAUAAGAAAUGUGUUAAUUGACUUUUAUGUUAUUGGCAAGGCUUCCAGUAGACCAUAGACUAUUAGUAGCUAAGUUUUGGAAACGUCAAAAGCAAUAUGCAGAUUUUCAACUGCUUGGCAGUGGUGGGGAGGGUUGGCAAACUAACCCCUGCACUAUUCAAGGGUCAACUGUAUAUAUAAUGCCUGCACAGAAAAUGGGCAAGGAAAAAACCAAAUGUUACUGGAAGAGGCAAAAUAACAUCUGAUUUUUACUUUUUCCUACGUGCUAUUUCAUAUUUAUCGAAUUUUCAACAGCCAACAGGUAUUGUUACUGCAAUUUUUUUUCAAAAAAGGCAACAAUCAAGGCUCUAUUUUGAAAAUACACACAGACAUAUUCAGACUGAUGAAUCCAUUGUGGCUGGGGACUGAUCAUGUCACUCCCUAGCCCGUGGCUUCUUACAUCCCUAGGAAAGUGUUCAAUUCUUAGCCUGGGCCUGUGUGAUCUGCCCUCUAACCUCCCCAGGUCCAUGCUGAAUGGUUUCUCCCCCGGCUUCUCUCUGUGCCCUCGAGCUCCACCCAUCCCCCAGACCAAACUGAACUACUCAGAGUUCCAUGAAAAUUCCCUUCUCUCCUCCCUCUGGGCCUUGGUAUAUGCAGAUGCUGUUAUUUCUGCCUAGCCCCCUACCCCAGCUCCUACUUAUCCUUAGGACUCAGCUUAGAUAACAGCUCCCCCUCCUCUGUGCUCUCCUACCCCCCUGGCUGCCCCCAGGGGACUUACUGGAAACUAUAUCAAGGGCAGGGCCCUGGUCAGAUGCCCCCUGGACUUUACAGCAGCAUUAGGGAGUAUUUGUGAAUGAAUGCAGCAACCAUCAGGUGAGAAGACACUAAAAUCCACCCACAGAGUCCUAGCCUCCAGCCUAGGGCCCUGGUUCAUAAGGGAACACACCUCUCUGAAGCCCACUGCCCCACAGGACAAUCAGAUCCACCGCUACAAGCCAAGUAACCCAAAUGAUACAUAAUUGCAGCCCCACACUUCAAAUCAGACCUCAGACCCAAACCCUACCAGAGCAAUGCCAUGGCUCAACAGGAUAUAAAGACACAGCUGGCCUCGGCGCAAGCCAAACAAUCCAGGCCAGAUCCAAUGACCAUCCCUGUCCACUUCUGACCUUUGCUGAUGCCAAGAUGGCCAGUUUUCCUUUCUGCCAAACACACACCCGCCCAUGGCAGGGACGGGGCUGGCUGACUGGCUCUUCCCACACGUCAUUCUACCCACCCACCAUGCCACGUUCCUCUCCAGCACGUACCUUCGAGCACUGAGAGCUUGGCACUAGUGUUGAUCUCUCCCAGACUGUUGGUGGCCGUGCACUCGUAGAUGGCUUCAUCUCGUUGCGCCCGCAAUGGCUGGAUCCGCAGCACGGAUCCUGCCCCAUCAUCAAACUCAAUCACCUGCCAGAGGACAGACACAGGGUCACAGUCUGCUCAGGAUCAGACAUCCUCCCACCUCCAAAAGGCCCCUGAGGAAGAAGACCAAGGAGAGGGGAUGUAGGACCAGACCCCAGAAUAGGAUAGGCAGACCCUGAACUCUGCCAGCCCCUUCCUACCCAAGGUCUUACCUCAAAGCGCUGGGAGCUGACUUUCUUCCCCUUCUUCAUCCAUGUGAUGCGUGGCUUGGGCUCCCCUGUGGCUUGGCACACAAAGGAAGCCACUCCUCCCGACAGCCCAGUCUGGUCCUCAGGGACUUUAAUGAAGACAGGUUUACCUGGAGAGAUGGAGACACCAAGUCACCAUGACAGUCACCACCGACAUCACCAACACUCCGCAGGUGGCAGACAUGGGGGGGGUUGUGUGUGUGUGUAGCAAGAUCUAUAAAGAAAAUAUGAAUAGUGACACCUAACCCUUACACAGUGCUUACUAUGUGCCAGGCACUACUCAAAAGAACUGAAGUAUAUGAGGUGGGUGCUAUAAUCACAUCCGCUUAUAGAGAAGAAAAUCAAGGCACAGAGAGGUUAAGGGAUUUGUCUAACAUGACACAGCUGGUUAGUGGCAGAGCUGAGAUUUGAACCCAAGAGUCCUGUGUCUGGAGUCCAUGCUUUAACCACUAUACUACUCUCUGUCUCCCAUCCCCCAUAAGUUCCAAGCAAGAGGACAAAGGCAUGCUGAGUGCUGCCUGGAAGAGUCCCAGCACCUCUCAGACUGGUCCCUCCCGCACUGCUCUCCAUCUGGGGGAUGGUACCUCCAUCUACCCCAAGGCUCAAGCCAGAAACCGUGAUUCCUCCUCUCUCAGCCCCCACAUACCAGCAGUCCUGAAAGGCCUAGACAUUCCACCUCUUUAAGUGUCUCUGGACGUCUUCCCAGGCCAAUGAACAGCUCCAGAAAGGCUAAUACCGUGAGAAAUGACCUUUCAGACCACCUGCUCAGUACCAAUGAGCCCAGGCCUGACCUGAUCUCUGGCACAGAAACACGUGUGUGCAGUGAUGACCAUCCAUCGCUAAGCACCCAUUCCGCACCAGACGUGAAAGACAAUGUUUAAAUGCUGCUGGGAAGGAGGAAGCAGACAGGGAGAGCGUGCCGACCCAGGAUCCAGUGGACAGUGAUGGGUGCAGUCCCGCAGGAGGGGAGGGUCCGGGGACCAGCGGGGUCAGCAGUUACAGUGUAAGAGGGCUUAGCCUUGCAGCGAGCAGGAAGGGAACCACUUUAUCCAGCACCCAGGGGCCCGGCAGCCUCUGCAAGUUUUAUGUAAUUUUUACGCAAGUCACUCAUCAUCUCUGAGCCUCUGUUUUCUCAUCUGCAAAAUGGUGCCAGGGCCCACGGGUCUGUGUGGACAGAAUGUGAUGAGGGCUGUCGAGGGCGUGCACAGGCAUGACGGUUGGUGGGUCCUGCGUGGGAGGCAGCUGCUGCUCUCACUUGAAGUCUUAAAACAAUGAUGUGGGGGCACCUGUGUGGUUCAGUCAGUCAGGCGUCUGACUCUUGGUUUUGGCUCAGGUCAUGAUCUCACAGGUUCGUGACUCGAGCCUCAUGUUGAGUUCUACGUUCAGCGCAGCACUUGCUUGGGACUCUCUCCCUCUCUCUCUGCCCCUCCCCUGCUUGCUCGUGCACGCGCUCUCUCUCUCUCUCGCU